rnacentral:rRNA from 1 species
UAAUGUCUGGGAAACUGCCUGAUGGAGGGGGAUAACUACUGGAAACGGUAGCUAAUACCGCAUAAUGUCGCAAGACCAAAGUGGGGGACCUUCGGGCCUCAUGCCAUCAGAUGUGCCCAGAUGGGAUUAGCUAGUAGGUGGGGUAAUGGCUCACCUAGGCGACGAUCCCUAGCUGGUUUGAGAGGAUGACCAGCCACACUGGAACUGAGACACGGUCCAG